GACGAACGCUGGCGGCGUGCUUAACACAUGCAAGUCGAACGGAAAGGCCCUGCUUUUGUGGGUUGCUCGAGUGGCGAACGGGGGAGUAACACGUGAGUAACCUGCCCUUGACUUUGGGAUAACUUCAGGGAACUGGGGCGAAUACCGGAUAGGAUCUCCUGCUGCAUGGUGGGGGUUGGAAAGUUUCGGCGGUUGGGGAUGGACUCGCGGCUUAUCAGCUUGUUUGUGGGGUAGUGGCUUACCACGGCUUUGACGGGUAGCCGGCAUGAGAGGGUGACCGGCCACAUUGGGACUGAGAGACGGACCAGAAUCCUACGGGAGGCAGCAGUGGGGAAUAUUGCACAAUGGGCGGACGCCUGAUGCAGCAACGCCGCGUGCGUGAUGACGGCUUUCGGGUUGUAAACCGCUUUCGAAUGUGCCGAAGCGUGCGUGACGGUAAUGGGUCAAGAAGCACCGGCUAACUACGUG
rnacentral:rRNA from 1 species